GUCACUAAUGCUCUUAUCAACCAUGCAAAAUUAGAUUUUUCAAGAAACUGUAGAACAAAAAGAUCCAACACCAAAACCUUGCCAUAAAUACAACAGUUAACAGUUACUGAUGGAAGCUACUAACUUAAUUGGUGAAGUCUCCAGGCAUUAUAACAAGAAACCUGAGAUGAAAUUCAGCUCACACUAGGGAUUGUGGGGUAGGUGAAACACACACGUACAAAGCAGAUAUAUAAAGGGUAAAAGAGAGAGGUCAACUCUUCUAUAUCCAAUUGACCCAACAACAAGCUGAAACAAAAGAGCAGG
rnacentral:misc_RNA from 1 species